GAGGAAGGGUGGGGAUGACGUCAACGUCCUCAUCGGCCCUUAUAGGUGGGGCUACACACGUCAUACAAUGGCUGGUACAAAGGGUUGCCAACCCGCGAGGGGGAGCCAAUCCCAUAAAGCCAGUCGUAGUCCGGAUCGCAGUCUGCAACUCGACUGCGUGAAGUCGGAAUCGCUAGUAAUCGUGGAUCAGCAUGUCACGGUGAAUACGUUCCCGGGUCUU
rnacentral:rRNA from 1 species